UCCGCAGUAGCACAAUGGUAGUGCAGCUCGCUGUUAACGAGAAGGUUGUAGGUUCGAAUCCUACCUGCGGAG
rnacentral:tRNA from 1 species